GAAAAAGAGAGGAGGAAACACAAGGAAGCGAUGUAAGAUAAACUCUUCACUCUAAGGAAUCCACCAAAGAGGUUAGAGAGACUCGUCACCUUAAGGAAUCCACCUAAAGGCUAAGAGAAAAGUAAGAAGAAAUCCUUCUUCAAACAAGUUUAGAGACUCAAUUUAAGUAAUUGUAUUUCAACUUGAUGCCUCCCACUCUCACUUACACACGUAUAUAUACUAAUCUCUUACAACCCUUCACUACCUCACAUUGAUUACAAAUCCACUCAUAUUCCAAAAUACAUGAAUAGCUCAUAAAUUCAAGACUAAUGAUAUGAAAAGACAUUGACUCUUCAAUUUUCGGACUGUACUGCUACCCUCUAGUAAAACAGCCAUAACUCCUUCUAGAAAACUCCAAAUGACCUUUAGUUUAUUCCAUAAGAAACUAGACUCAUCUAGCUUCGAAACCAUAUAAGGCUCAUGGGCUAAUUCAUUUUCAAUCACAGUCGGCUGCUCUUCAAAGUUGACCCAUCUGCUGCAAAUUCAUGCUGAAACUCUGCAUCAUUCGCUUCCGCUGCGAGAAAACUCGUCCCUGAGUUUGUCUCAUCCUCAUCAUCUUGCUCCCCAUGAUAAGGAGAUAAAUCAGCUACAUUGAACGUAGCAGAAACGCCAUAUUCUCCUGGGAGUUCAACUUUGUAAGCAUUCUCCCCAACACGUUGAAGAAUUUUGAAAGGACCGUCUGCUCGUGGCUUGAGUUUUCCAUGACGACCUCGAGGAAACCUUUCUUUACGAAGAUGAAUCCAGACCAAGUCUCCCUCAUUAAAUGUCGCUGGCUUGCGAUGUUUGUCGGCCUUCUUCUUGUACAUUUCAUUCUUCUUCACAAUCCGAUCACGUACCUCCAUAUGCAUCUUCUUGAUGUUCUUGACUCUAUCCUCGGCAUCUCCACUAUAAGAAUGUGUAAUUGGAAUAGGAGUCAAGUCCAACGGACUGUUUGGAUUGCAACCAUACACAACUUCAAAUGGAGUGCCUCCAGUUGUUUGAUUUUUAGACCUAUUGUAGGCGAAUUCAGCUUGAGCAAGAACAAGAUCCCAUUGCCGAAUAUUACCACGAACCAACUUCCCAAAAGAUUACCCAAGCUCCGAUUAACAACUUCCGUUUGACCAUCGGUUUGAGGGUGGUGCGAGGUACUAAAUUGGAGAGUGGUCCCCAACUUCCGCCAAAGUGUUCGCCAAAAGUGACUCAUAAAUUUUGGAUCUCGAUCAGAUGUUAUAGUCUUCGGGAUGCCAUGCAGCUUAACAAUCUCACGAAAAUAUAGAUCGGCAACGUUGGAAGCAUCCAAGGUCUUGUUGCAUGGCACAAAAUGAGCCAUUUUAGAAAAUCGAUCCACCACCACCAUAACAGAGUCUUUAUUUCUUUGAGUUCUUGGCAAACCCACCACAAAAUCUAAGCUCACAUCUUCCCAUGGAGUCGUCGGAACUGGUAAAGGGGUGUAUAGACCUGUAUUUUGAGCUUGAGUUUUGGCUAUAUGACAAAUUCGACAUCGUUUCACAUACCUUGCAAUAUCUCGAUCCAUUUUAGGCCAGUAGAAAUUUUCCCGAAUAAGAGACAAAGUCUUAUCUCGACCAAAAUGUCCGGCAAGACCUCCUCCAUGAGCUUCUUUGACAAUUGAUUCUCUAAGAGAGCCUUGAGGAAUGCAUAACUGAUUAUCCUUGAAGAGGAAUCCAUCUUGUAAUAGAAAGUGAUUAGACGGACCAUUUGAACAAUCCUCCCAAACCUUUCCAAAUUGAGGAUCAUCUUUGUAUUGACGCUUAAGAACCUCAAAGCCCAAGACUUCUACCUGUAAUGUUGAGAGUAGAGAAUGCCUUCGGCUUAGAGCGUCCGCCACCUGAUUUUGCUUGCCCGACUGAUGCUUGAUGUGAAAAGUAAAGGAUUGAAGAAAUUCAACCCAUUUUGCAUGCCGACGACUAAGUUUAUGCUGCCCAUUGAUAUAUUUAAGAGCUUCGUGAUCUGUAAAAAGAAUGAAUUCUUUGGGCAGGAGAUAAUGACUCCAAUGAUCUAAAGCUCUAAUAUAGCAUAAAACUCUUUAUCGUAGGUGGAAUAAUUUCUUCGACUUCCAUUUAAUUUCUCACUAUAGAAGGCAAUGGGCUUACCUUCUUGACUAAGAACUGCGCCGAUGCCAACAUUUGAAGCAUCACAAUCUAACUUCAAAUAUUUUCUCAAAAUUUGGAAGUGCAAGAACAGGAGCUUGAGUUACCUUCUUCUUAAUAAGAUCAAAGCUCUUUUGCGCAUCCUUAGUCCAUUCAAAUCUUUCACCCUUCAAACACUCUGUGAUUGGAGCAACAAGAGUGCUAAAUCCUUUGAUGAACCGACGGUAGAAAGAGGCCAGACCAUGAAAGCUUCGAAUGUCACGAAUAGUUGUUGGGGUUGGCCAGCUUUCAAUAGCUUCCACCUUGCUUGGAUCCACCUUGAUCCCUUCGCCGGAAAUGAUAAAGCCUAGAAAAACAAGGCUUUUGGAAAAGAACUCGCACUUCUUCAUGUUAGCAUAAAGCUUAUCUUUUCUUAGAGCUUCAAAAACUUGAUAAAGAUGCUCUAAAUGUUGCUCAUCACUUUUGCUAAAAACCAAGAUAUCAUCGAAGUAAACGACGACAAACUUACCAAUGAAUGGCUUGAAUACUUGGUUCAUCAACCUCAUGAACGUGCUUGGAGCAUUGGAAAGGCCAAACGGCAUCACCAUCCAUUCAUAGAGCCCAUCUCUUGUCUUGAACGCUGUCUUCCAUUCAUCUCCAGGUCUCAUCCGAAUUUGAUGAUAUCCACUUCUCAAAUCAAUCUUUGAAAAGAUUGAUGCUCCAUGUAGUUGGUCCAGCAAGUCAUCAAGGCGAGGGAUAGGAAACCGGUACUUGAUUGUAAUUUUGUUCACAGCUCGACUAUCAACGCACAUUCUCCACGUUCUGUCUUUUUUUGGGACUAGCAAAGCUGGAACGGCGCACGGACUCAUACUUUCUCUUAGCAAGCCUUUGUUCAUAAGCUCUUGAACUUGCCUUUGUAAUUCCUCAUGCUCCUUAGGAUUCAUUCGGUAUGCCGCCUUGUUUGGAAUUGAUGCCCCUGGAAAGAAAUCAAUACAAUGUUGGAUAUCCCUCAAAGGAGGGAGACCAAUAGGUAUUUCAUCUGGGAUGACAUCUUGAAAUUCAUCAAGAAUGGGUUGCAAUAUUUGAGGAAUUUUCUUGUUCUCCUCGUUCCCCUCCAUCAUCACAAGAACAUAAAGUUCUCUUGUUUCUUCAAACGCUGCAUCAAAUUGAGAUUUAGAGAGCAAAAUAGUCCCCUCACCUUUAGAAGGUUUGGGAGUAUUAUCAAGUUUAGUCGGCCCCAAAACAAUCUUAACUCCAUCUUUCUCAAAAUGAUAAGUAUUUUUACGACCAUCAUGAAUGACGUUUCGAUCAUAUUGCCAUGGUCGCCCAAGAAGUAGAUGACAAGCAUCCAUCGGGAUAACAUCACACCAAACAGAAUCCUUAUAAUUUUUACCAAUUGAAAAAUUCACUAAGCAUCUAUUUUCAACUUUUAUUUUAUCUCCUUUACUGAGCCAAGAGAGCUUAUAAGGACGUGGGUGUACCUCGACUUUGAGAUUGAGCUUCUCCACCAUUUCGGAAGACACCAUAUUUUCACAGCUCCCUCCAUCAAUAAUGACAUUGCAUACUUUUCCAUCGCAAGUGCAUCUCGUGUGGAAAAUGUUGUGACGGAGCCAAUUUUCCUCUUCUUGAAUAGCACUUAAGCAUUUCCUCGUCACAAGGCAUUCUCCUUGAUCUCCAUAAGUGACUUCUUCAUCAUCUCCCGCCACCUCAUUGGUCUCUUCAACUUCUUCAGUUUGUUCGUCUUCUUCAACAAGCGAGACGAUUCUUCUAUUUGGGCAAUCAGAUGCAAUAUGCCCAAAGCCAUGGCACUUAAAACAUUGUCGGGAGGAAGAAGGAGAAUUUUUAGGAGCAUCCGCCUUUGGUAAAUCACUCCUCUUUGUUGGUGGUUUUGACGUAGUUGGGCUGCUUAAGGUAGACUUUGCAUUAGUGGCGCCUCUUUUGUUAGCAAACCCGUCUUUGUUCCAAGAACGGAAGUUGCUCCUUGGUGCUUCAUUGAUUUGUUUCUCCACCUUAAGAGCAAGCUUGAAAACAUCAUUAUACGUCCAAUAAGGCUGCAAUUGGACAACGUUAGCAAUUUCAGACCUUAAUCCUCCAAGAUAACGAGCUAUUGUUUGUUCCUCGGGCUCCACGACUUCACACCUCAUCAUGAGAUGCUCAAAAUCCAUUGUGUAUUCUUCCACGGUCUUCUCUUUUUGCUUGAGAUUAUGAAACUUGAGAAAAAUAUCCUGACGAUAGUUCUCGGGUAAGAACUUUCGCCUAAGCAGCUUUUUCAUCUUCUCCCAAGUUUCAACUCGACCUUUUGCCUCGCGGCUGCGUUGUUUCUUGAGGUGUUCCCACCAAAUUGACGCAUGUUUUGUCAAUUUGAUAGCAACAAGCUUCACUUUACGGUCGUCGGGAACAUCGUGAUAUUCAAAGAUUCUUUCGACAGCGUGCAACCAAUCAAUGAAUUCUUCGGGUUGCAUUCUUCCUUCAAACUCCGGAAUAUCGACUUUGGCAUUGAAGAAUGGCUGAGGUCGACGUCGGUGAUGACCAUGUGCUCUUGAAUGGUCACUUGAAUUGUGGUUGCGAUAGAAAGGAUUUUCUACCUCGUCACCAGAUUCACUAUCAUCCUCCGAAUCAUGACGCGACUCUUCAGGUUCGGCAUGCUCGCCUUGCGCAAGCUGUUGUUGGAGUUGCUGCACUUGUCUCCUCAAUUCUUCCAGCUCGAUGUCGCGAAGAUCGCGCUCACGCCUUGGUUCUUCACCCUGGUUGUUCCUUCGACGUGGGGCCAUCACGAACCUUGCUCUGAUACCACUUGAUACCGGGCAAAUGGAAAAAGAGAGGAGGAAACACAAGGAAGCUAUGUAAGAUAAACUCUUCACUCUAAGGAAUCCACCAAAGAGGUUAGAGAGACUCGUCACCUUAAGGAAUCCACCUAAAGGCUAAGAGGAAAGUAAGAAGAAAUCCUUCUUCAAACAAGUUUAGAGACUCAAUUUAAGUAAUUGUAUUUCAACUUGAUGCCUCCCACUCUCACUUACACACAUAUAUAUACUAAUCUCUUACAACUCUUCACUACCUCACAUUGAUUACAAAUCCACUCAUAUUCCAAAAUACAUGAAUAGCUCAU
rnacentral:lncRNA from 1 species